GAAUGGAAUGUUUUGGAAUUGAUUGGUUCAUUGUUUUGCAUAAUUUUUAUGAAUAUUUGUGUAUGAAUGGAAUGUGUAUGAAUGGAAUGUGUAUGAAUGGAAUGUGUAUGAAUGGAAUGUGUAUGAAUGGAAUGUGUAUGAAUGGAAUGUGUAUGAAUGGAAUGUGUAUGAAUGAAAUGUGUAUGAAUAUAUGUUUGAAUGCUUUUUUCA
rnacentral:lncRNA from 1 species